UGGAUUUGUGGCUGCAAUAUUUCCUAAUUAAUGACACCACCAUAAAUCUAAGCAGCUCCCUUACAGGCAAGAUCUUAGGGGUUAUUUCUCUAAGGUUGUCGACCAAAGCUCGUGUAGCGACCUCUGGGAGUGACUUGUCCAGGUGAAACCCUGAGCGCCCUUGGUCAUCUUCUCUUUGAUGGCAACAAUUAUACGACUCGUCUCUAGCUCCGUGGUGUGUCCUAACUAGGCACUUCAAUUUGAGCAUGGCACGGUGCUUCAAGGCCCUUUUGUUAGUCAAGAGCAUGGCACACCCACCAGAUCGGAACAAACAAUUUGCAAGAAUCAUCGAUCUAUCACUGCCUGUAUACCAGUGUGGACUUAAAGACUCCGAGGUGACAACAAGCGCAUAAGCAUUUUUGUAAAUCUUAAAGAUGUUUUGAACAAUGUUGACGGAUAUAAGGCUUGCACUACAACCCAUCCCAGUGAGGUUGAAAACCUUAACAUCCUCCCUUAGUUUAUAGUGAUUUAUGAUCAUAGCGGGUAAAGAAGGGACAACAGACUGCAUGGAGACAUUAACUACAAGAACAUCGAUUUCUUUAGGAGCUAUGCCUGACCUAGCCAAGAGCUUUCCGAUGCUGUCAUGAAAGAACUCCUCCAUCUCCGAAAUUAAAUCUUGUAAUGUAGGGUUCUCCUCUUGACCGUUGAAUAUGAUCCUGGGACCAUAGGUUUGCUCGCCAAUACCAGAGCUCACAAUAGCUCUCAACAGAAACUUGUACUCGUUCAGACCAAGAUUCUUGUUCCUCAUUAUCACUUGCCCAGAACACUCUGUGUCGAGUUUCCUGUCAUCGGUUGGUUUGUGGCACUCAUAGUCUAGUAUAUAACAUUCUCGGUCCCUUUUCCUAUCAAUCCGCCUCCAUAACAUGAGGAGGGGAUAGAAGAUGAGAAAAGCAUAUACUAACAUGGGAACAUCCAUUGUUUAAUUUUGAGAGAAACAGAGAGAGAGGCGGGGCUUGAGAGUUUGGUGUGCCAGUAUUAUUAUUUUAUAAGAUGUGAGGUCAUGAAAUGAAAGCAGGUGAUCUUAUAAGAGAAGGGGAUGUGCGAGCUGUACACAUGAAGAUGUUUAAGAUCCAUUUCCAUCUCUCCACUCCCACCAACUGAUUGCGUUCAACUUUGCUAUCAACUUAAUUUUUUUUUUUAAAAGCAUUAACUGGCCAAUUCAUUACGUGGAUUCUUUUUUUAAUUAAUGUAGGUGUUCGGGUUAGUUUACACGCACCUCGAUUAAUUUUACGGGUUCUAAAAUUAAUGACCAUAUAAUUCUCCAGUGGCCAUCAUAUUAUAAACUACAAAACUUGAACUUGAAACAAAAAAAAAAAAACAAAUCCAUUAAUUCUAAAUUCUUACCACUAAAUGUUUUUUCACUACAAAAAAAUGGAAUUAGCAACGAAUAAUUUCAGAUGCAAAUAAUAGAUGCUAAUUUUUUAGCAACGAAUUAUCCGUCGCUAAAAUUCGGUUACUGAUUGUCCAUUGUGUUCCUGCUGAGGUCUCUCAUCAUGAGCUUGAUUGCAUGUUAAUUACGAUAUCUACAUUAACAUAACCUAAAUUAACCUUAUGGUCGAGCUAGCUAGGAAGUUAUGAGGAACCUUAUGGUCCUUUUUACAUCUUUUUGCAUGCUCUGUUUUGCAACAUUUUUUCUAGUUACUGCAAAGAAAGCAAUAGUUUUACAACAGUAGUUAGGCUACUUUCCACAAUAUUUUUCAUGCUUUGUAUUGCAAUAAUCUCAACCCCCUCUCUUAGUAUAUUUUUUUUUUAUACCUCACCCAUUUAAUAAAUUUAAAAUAAAAUACAUUACAUUAAUAAUUAAAAAUAUUAGGAUGUGAUAAAAGCUAUAUUUAACAACUAAUUUGCAAAAAAUCAAACAAAAUUAUUAUUCUCAUCAAUAAAAUUAAUUAAUAAAAUAAAAUAUGUUAUCUCUAAAUUACAAAUAAAAUCUCUUAAAUUUAGGUUUCUAAUUAUACCUGUUUUAAUUUGUUAUAACGGUUGCAACUGGAAACGUGGAUUCUUGGGAGCAGCACGAUUCUUUGCAAAUUAAUGGAAGCACAACACCAAUCUUUGCCAAGUGGGUUCUUGAAAGCACACCACAGGAAAAGUUAAAGAUUGCAAAUGGGAGCACAGCACCGAUCUUUGCAAAUGGUUCUUGAGAGCACACUACAGGAGAAGUUAAAGAAAGCAAAAGUGGGGUAAUUGAAAAGGGUUGUUUUGGAGUUACAUGUUCUGGACAAUAAUUCAAGAGAAAGUGACAGAGGAGGGAUGGGUUUCGACAAAAGGAAGAAAGGGACAAAUUGAUUGGGUUAGGGUUUUUUAAGUGGAGAAUGAAAGUUUUUGAUUUUGAGCUGGAGUAAUAAAUUGUCUCCUACCGGGUGUUUUUGUUUAUAUAUAUAUAAAAGUCAAAUUUUUUUCUUCUCUUUAUUAGCAUAGCAAUCGUAAACUGUGCCAUUAUAUCAGCAACGGAUAAUCCGUUGCUGAUUUUUAAUAUAUUAAUUUAAUUUUUAGCAACCGAUUUUUUGUUGCUAAAUCCGUUACUAAUAUUAAAAAAUUAGUAUAUAUACAAUUCGUUGCUAAAUUUGCAACUGAAAUAUUUCGUUGCUGAUUGCCGAUGCUACCGACCCCUUUUUUUAGUAGUGUUUUAUAUGGUUUUAUUACGGAUUUUACCCAAUUCUUUUCUUUUCUAUUUUUAGUACAAGGAAUCCACAUUUCUUUUUUCUAAUUUAGGAUUUUAUUUCAUUACGAGGAGACUUCUCAAUGUCCAUUUUUAAUCCUGCCAAUAUACCUCAAUUAAUAUGGAUUUUCAAACAUAAUUAGCUAGUUACUAUCCGAUUGUCUUCCUGACAUCAUAAUAUCGUACAGUCUAAUGAACUAAAAUGACAUUACAUAGGAAGUUAUUGGUUUAUUUAUUUUCCUUUUUAGAGCCGGGAAAUCAUGUCUUGAAAAGGAUAAGUAAAAAGAUAGGACAAUUGAAGAAAAAAGAAGUACGUACGUGCACCGAUGCUGCUCGUGAUUAAAUGGAUCCUUAGACGCUAAUUCAUACCUAACGUACAUUUUUUUAUGCCAAGGAUAACGGGGCAGCAUUGGAGGUUUUUUUGAGAUAUAUGAUAAUGGUUAUUUUUUAAAGUAUUUUUUAUUUUAAAAUAUAUUAAAAUAAUAUUUUUAUUAUUUUUUUAAAAAUUAUUUUUAACAUUAUCACAUCAAAAUUAGCACAUCAAAAUGAUAUGAAAAAGAAAAAUUUUAAAAAAUUUGAAUUGUUUUCAAAAAUGCUUCUAAAAUUUAAUGUCAAACACACCCUUCAUCCACAACCUUUAAUGCAACAACUAGAUUAUUAUCGAGUGUUAUUAUGAUGAAGGUCGAAUUAAUUUUUUUAAUAUAAAAAAUAUUUAAAUAUUGCUAAUAUAUUUUUUAAUAAAAAAAUAUGUAUAAGUUGAUUUGAUAUAAUAUAGUUGACAUGAUGAGUCUAAAAACAACCUAAAUUACAAGUAAAAACAUAGUUUGACUAAAAUAAAUUAUUGACAUCAUCUUUUUUUAAAAUAUUGAUAUUGCAACCUAUUAAAUUGACCCGAAUAAUGAAACCGCAAUAUUCCAAUAGAAAAAAAAAUUAAAGUUUAAUUUUCGAUAAACUUAAUAUUAAAAGAUAAAAUUAAAAAUAAAAAUUAAAAAGAAAAAACAAUGUUAUGUUGAUCAAUUCUUUAUGAGGAGGUGAACAUUAAAUUCACCUCAUCUUUUAAUUUUUGUUGAUGAUUAUUAAACACAUAAAAAAUAAAUCAAAAUAAAUUAUAAAUCUUAAUUCCAAAUAAACUUAAAAAAUAUUGUUUCAAUGAAUAAUGUUAUAUGAGGAUUUUAAUAGUGAAUUCACUUUUUUUUCUUGUUAAUAAUUAUUAAACACCUUUGAUUUCCUAAACCCUGUAUAUAUAAAAAUAUAUCUACAAAACUUAAUAGUCACUAGCGGGCAUUGAUAACGUGUCUUCUAAAAAAAUUAAUUUUAACAAUGAAUUGAAUGAUAUUUUAAUCUAUUAUUGUGAUGGAAAAACAUUUGAUUUACCUGGUUAAACUAAUCCGACAAGAAAAACUUACGGGAAUAAUUUUUUAAAAAUAAAUUGGAAAGCUCAAUCCUAAAUUAAUUCAAUGUUGAAGGACGAAGUUAACCAAAAAAAACAUUUUUAAUUAAAAAAACAAGUGAACUCAAGUCAACCAAGCGAACUCAUAACGCAAGUCAUGGACAUUAUCAGAUUCAAUAAAUUUUUUUAUCCUAGAAAUUAUUUUUCCUUUAAUUAUUCAACAAUAAAACACAUGAUAAUUGUUUUUGUAUGAAAUGGUUUUUUUGAAAAGAAAAAAAUGGUGAUAGGUAUGUGGAGCCAAGAUAACAAAAGUAGAUAACUGAUAAUAAAAUGUGAAUUGCAUUUUUUUAUGUAUGAGUUGAAUAAAAAUAUAGAUCAUCAAUAAUAAGAGGUGAAAAUUGUAUUUUUUAAAAAAAUUAAAGAAUAAAAAAAGCAUUAAUAAAAAAAAAAAACAAAUAAUAGCUCAGAUGCUGCAGAUUAACCUAUUAAACAUGUGAUCUAACUCAUGGACUCAAUUGGGUUCGAUGAUUUUUUUUAUCAAGUUUUUUAACACAAAUAUAAAAUAAUAAUAAUAAAAAAAAAACUAAAAGGAACCUUGACAUGUGGGCCUGGUGGCCCAAGGUGCCCGGGUAUUAAAAGAAAUAGCCAAGCACAUGGGCUUUCCAGUGUGCCCGGACCUAUCUUUGCUUUUUUAUUUCUUGAAGAGGUGAUGAUCUAUCAUCCACCCUAAUUCCUUUUAAGAAAACAACAAUAGACGUUGUGUCGUCUAUGACAAUAGAAGAUGUGUCACCUACUUUCUAUAAAAUUCAAUGACUAGAGAUCUCUGCAAAAACAGGGCAUCGAGUUUUUUUUUGGUAAAAUACCUAAAAGAUAGUUUACACACCUUGAAAAAUAUAUCAAUGGUCUAACCCUCCCUUUAAAAAGUAGCUAAAAAAUCCAAAACCAACGAAAUAAAAAUAUUCUUGUGAUCAUAUAUCUAUCCCAUCAUGCAAAGAAAAAUAAAAAAAACACCUAAGUGAAACUCCAUUAAUGAAAUAGAACCCGUUAACAUUGAUAUUGACCUUUGUUAUGGCCGUAAUCAGAUUUUAUCUCUUUACACUGAAAUUCAACGAGCCUCAAACUCACCUCUCAUUAAAAAAGAACUAAAAAAUAAAAAAAAUAAAGUUUGAUACUGAAAUUGAAUUUAUGACAACUAAAAAGACCAAUCACUUAACAAUUAAAAAAGAUAAGUAACUAAAAUAAACUUUGUAAAUGAAAUUUGAAGUUGUUAUCUAUUUUAUCCAUCCUUUUAAUUUUGAUCUUCUUCUUUUAAUUUAACUUUUUUAAAAAAAAAAAGUAAUUUGGUGCUAAUUUGGGUUGAAAAAUGUUAAUUGUGCAAAAAAACGUUCGAUGAUAGAAUUAAAAUUUUAUAAAAAGUUGAUUAUUCUAAUCCAUAAAGAUUUGAGAUAUUAUUAUCCCAUGGAAUGAUUGAACCGUAGUCAAGAUCAAUGACAAUAGGUUAGAAGGAGAAGUAUGGGGAUUUAGUUCAGCACAUUCAGGCAGAUUGAUCAGAAGGAAAAGGAGAAGUAUAUGGUGGCUACGUUUUUUUUUUUUUUUGUUUUAAUUUGAAUAAAAAUACUUUAAUUAUUAAAUGAAAAAUAACAGUAAAUAUAUAAAUAAUCACAUUACUAUACUAAGUGUACUACCAAUAAUAACGCUUCCGGGCCUCCAGCAAUAAAGAAUACGUACAGCAGCAUGUGCAGGGGACGAGGGUUUGAAAGCAAUUCUUCUAUUCUGAAAGAGAGAGAUCACUACAAACACUUUCUGGGAAAAACAAAUAAAACAGUACCGUUAAACAUAUCAAUCUGUGAAAACAAAGCGAAGGAAACAAAAAAAAACUAAAAAAAGGAUUGCAGCCCUCUAACAGGAUGCAAAUUCUCAUCAUAAUGGAAGCGCGCAGCACACCUUAUUGGGUUAUGGAAUCCUCCGGAGGAUUCAACAAGAUAACAACUUAAUUUAGUGGUGUACGUAGCUUUUAGGAAAGAAAAUAAAUAUACAGAGUAACAAAGAUAUUGUUUUUUUUUUUUUUUUUUAUCAUAAGAGCAGUAAAAAAGAAAAAAAGAUUGAGGAAUGUGUAUGUGAAGCUCGAAGAAAUUAAAACCUUGACUAAUGUCUUAAGAAGGAGAAGGAGAAGAGAAUGCAAAUGUAAAAUACCAAUCAGUAAAGAAUAAUUGAAUAGCAACGGCUAAGUCCUCCUAGUAUUUUGUAUUGAUAAAAUUCUCGUGUUCUUAUUAAAUUUCACAACUUAAAUAGUAAAACCAUUACUAAAAUUAAAUAACAAUAAACAACCCAUAAUUAAUACUAUUUUGUAAUGGACUCCAACGUAACUCCUAAGUAAUUACUAAAUAAUAGUUCUAUUUUUUGAAGAUCCACGAUCAGGUCAUCUUAACAACCCAAAAUUAAAAAUGAGUGCGUAAAACAUUAUAACAUAACAACCAAAUAAUUAACUGCAUACAACCCCAUGUUUCCAAGACCCUUGUCCAGAUCACCUAAGACCACGUCCUAACAGACCCAUGACAGCAAAAGUGCUGGGAUCAUCUUCAUUGUUAAUCCAUCCAUACUUCUCCAAGAAUGGGUUAGUCAAUGAGUUUGGUGGGUAGCUAUGAAUGCAGUCCGUCCACGCAUUACCUGCAUCCCCCAAGUCUCUAAGCACCUCCCACAAACAGCUGUUGCAUUUAAAGCCCGCACCAAAGCUCAUCAUCAAAACCCUAUCUCCUUUCUUUAGCCUCCUUUUGGCCUCCAUGUAUCCCAAAACAUACCAAAGACUACUCGCAGAUGUGUUCCCGAACCUAUGGAGAGUCAUUCUUGCUGGCUCCAAGUCAUGCUCGGUGAGAUCAAGGCUUACGCCAAUCCCAUCGAUCACUGCCUUACCCCCAGUGUGAAUGCAGAAGUGAUCAACACCUGUCUUGAAGUUUAUCACAGGUUUAGGACUAGAACCAGCUGCUCCUUUUGUGGAUUUGUGGCUGCAGUAUUUCCUAAUUAAUGACACCACCAUAAAUCUAAGCAGCUCCCUUACAGGCAAGAUCUUAGGGGCUAUUUCUCUAAGGUUGUCGACCAAAGCUCGUGUAGCGACCUUUGGGAGUGACUUGUCCAGGUGAAACCCUGAGCGCCCUUGGUCAUCUUCUCUUUGAUGGCAACAUGCAUACGACUCGUCUCUAGCUCCGUGGUGUGUCCUAACUAGGCACUUCAAUUUGAGCAUGGCACGGUGCUUCAAGGCCCUUUUGUUAGUCAAGAGCAUGGCACACCCACCAGAUCGAACAAACAAUUUGCAAGAAUCAUCGAUCUAUCACUGCCUGUAUACCAGUGUGGACUUAAAGACUCCGAGGUGACAACAAGCGCACAAGCAUUUUUGUAAAUCUUAAAAAUGUUUUGAACAAUGUUGACGGAUAUAAGGCUUGCACUACAACCCAUCCCAGUGAGGUUGAAAACCUUAACAUCCUCCCUUAGUUUAUAGUGAUUUAUGAUCAUAGCGGGUAAAGAAGGGACAACAGACUGCAUGGAGACAUUAACUACAAGAACAUCGAUUUCUUUAGGAGCUAUGCCUGACCUAGCCAAGAGCUUUCCGAUGC
rnacentral:lncRNA from 1 species